CCCUUAGAUGUUCUGGGCCGCACGCGCGCUACACUGACGAAUGCAACGAGCUUAUAACCUUGGCCGAAAGGUCUGGGUAAUCUCCAAAUUUCGUCGUGAUGGGGAUAGAUUAUUGCAAUUAUUAAUCUUCAACGAGGAAUGCCUAGUAAGCGCAAGUCAUCAGCUUGCGUUGAUUACGUCCCUGCCCUUUGUACACACCGCCCGUCGCUCCUACCGAUUGGACAACCCGGUGAAAUCCUCGGACUGCGGCUCUGCCACAGGCUUGCCUUGGCGCUGCCGCGGAAAGUUGAUUAAACCUUGCUGUCUAGAGGAAGGAGAAGUCGUAACA
rnacentral:rRNA from 1 species